CCUACGGGUGGCAGCAGUGGGGAAUAUUGGACAAUGGGGGCAACCCUGAUCCAGCCAUGCCGCGUGUGUGAAGAAGGCCCUCGGGUUGUAAAGCACUUUCAGUGAGGAAGAACGCCUGGUGGUUAAUACCCAUCAGGAAAGACAUCACUCACAGAAGAAGCACCGGCUAACUCCGUGCCAGCAGCCGCGGUAAUACGGAGGGUGCGAGCGUUAAUCAGAAUUACUGGGCGUAAAGCGCGCGUAGGUGGCUUGAUAAGCCGGUUGUGAAAGCCCCGGGCUCAACCUGGGAACGGCAUCCGGAACUGUCAAGCUAGAGUGCAGGAGAGGAAGGUAGAAUUCCCGGUGUAGCGGUGAAAUGCGUAGAGAUCGGGAGGAAUACCAGUGGCGAAGGCGGCCUUCUGGACUGACACUGACACUGAGGUGCGAAAGCGUGGGUAGCAAACAGGAUUAGAUACCCUAGUAGUC
rnacentral:rRNA from 1 species